rnacentral:lncRNA from 1 species
CAGCAUCUCACAGAGAAGAUACUUGGAUGGGCCACAGGCCAAAACUGGGCCAAAGCCCUGGAGAGGGGGACCUGGCUCAAGGCCACACCACAUUUCCAUGUCAUUUUCCAGUGGCACCAACUGAGCUGGACAGAUGUUCUCACAGAGCUACACAUGCCACAAUCAUCACUAGUUGUGAGAGUCUCCAGUGUUCAUUAAGCCUAUUUUGCUGGAAGUUUAGUCCCUGGAGGAUUAGUCCCUGCCCUUAAGGAGUGCCAAAGAAGACUUUGGAAUCUAAGUCACAUCUCCCCUGCUGCAAUUUUUUCCUCUUGAUAAUCAAGGAAUCUCACUGAUAAAACUCUCAACGAGGAGCAGCUCUCCCCAUGAGCAAGUUCUUGCCUUCAUUGCCAGGGAGGCCCCAGCUAAGGGUAUACUGGGAAAGGAAUCUCUGGGGAGUACCUGGAAGAGGUCAGCUUCUCCUCAAAGGAAGCCUCUCCAGCUGGUGUACUGCAAAGCCUUCCAAGACCAAGUUCCCUCUUCCUGGCCUCUGGAACCAGCCUGUGUGCCAGCGCUGUGUCCCCAGUAACACACAUGAGUCUCUCCCUCAGAAGCCACAGAACGAUGCAGAGAGAGACCAACCCAGGAUUGAUUCUCAGCACUUACUAAUUGUGUGGACAUAACUGCUCUGGACCUCAG